rnacentral:rRNA from 1 species
UACGUAGGGUGCGAGCGUUAAUCGGAAUUACUGGGCGUAAAGCGUGCGCAGGCGGUUUUGUAAGACAGGGGUGAAAUCCCCGGGCUUAACCUGGGAACUGCAUUUGUGACUGCAUUGCUGGAGUGCGGCAGAGGGGGAUGGAAUUCCGCGUGUAGCAGUGAAAUGCGUAGAUAUGCGGAGGAACACCGAUGGCGAAGGCAAUCCCCUGGGCCUGCACUGACGCUCAUGCACGAAAGCGUGGGGAGCAAACAGG